rnacentral:rRNA from 1 species
GAUGAACGCUGGCGGCGUGCCUAAUACAUGCAAGUCGAGCGAACAGAUAAGGAGCUUGCUCCUUUGACGUUAGCGGCGGACGGGUGAGUAACACGUGGGUAACCUACCUAUAAGACUGGAAUAACUCCGGGAAACCGGGGCUAAUGCCGGAUAACAUUUAGAACCGCAUGGUUCUAAAGUGAAAGAUGGUUUUGCUAUCACUUAUAGAUGGACCCGCGCCGUAUUAGCUAGUUGGUAAGGUAACGGCUUACCAAGGCAACGAUACGUAGCCGACCUGAGAGGGUGAUCGGCCACACUGGAACUGAGACACGGUCCAGACUCCUACGGGAGGUAGCAGUAGGGAAUCUUCUGCAAUGGGCGAAAGCCUGACGGAGCAACGCCGCGUGAGUGAUGAAGGUCUUCGGAUCGUAAAACUCUGUUAUUAGGGAAGAACAAAUGUGUAAGUAACUGUGCACGUCUUGACGGUACCUAAUCAGAAAGCCACGGCUAACUACGUG